UUGACCUCAAAUCAGGUGGGACUACCCGCUGAACUUAAGCAUAUCAAA
rnacentral:rRNA from 1 species